UGGCCCAGAUCGUUUACCGUGAAAAAAUUAGAGUGUUCAAAGCAGGCAGAUCCAAUUUUCUGCCACCGAAUACAUUAGCAUGGGAUAAUGGAAUAGGACCCUGUCCUCCUAUUUUCAGUUGGUUUGCCGCGAGGACCAGGGUAAUGAUUAAUAGGGAUAGUUGGGGGCAUUAAUAUUUAAUUGUCAGAGGUGAAAUUCUUGGAUUUAUGAAAGAUUAACUUCUGCGAAAGCAUCUGCCAAGGAUGUUUUCAUUAAUCAAGAACGAAAGUUAGGGGAUCGAAGACGAUCAGAUACCGUCGUAGUCUUAACCAUAAACGAUGCCGACCAGCGAUUAGGAGACGUUGAAUACAAAACACCACCAUGCGCAUUGCGGUCGUCUUUGGUGUGUCGCUCACAASSCGRCAUACAUCGGASRGGSAGCWSAGUCGACCCCUUUC
rnacentral:rRNA from 1 species